rnacentral:rRNA from 1 species
CACUUACCACUCUSGAYCAGCAGWGGGAAGCUUGCUCCUUUGACGUUAGCGGCGGACGGGUGAGUAACACGUGGGCAACCUACCUUAUAGUUUGGGAUAACUCCGGGAAACCGGGGCUAAUACCGAAUAAUCURUUUCACCUCAUGGUGAAAUAUUGAAAGACGGUUUCGGCUGUCGCUAUAGGAUGGGCCCGCGGCGCAUUAGCUAGUUGGUGAGGUAACGGCUCACCAAGGCGACGAUGCGUAGCCGACCUGAGAGGGUGAUCGGCCACACUGGGACUGAGACACGGCCCAGACUCCUACGGGAGGCAGCAGUGGGA